GAAAACUUCAGCUGAAUUCAGCCCCUUCAGCCUAGCUUUCUCGCAUUGCUCCCCGCGUUGCGUGGCCUUUCUCAAAUACCGUGUUUUCUACAUAGAGUUGGGCUCGCGGAGCUCAUCUGUGUUUCAAUCGAAGGUGACCCCUUUGUCGUGGUGUCAUUCCCUGAAGAGGAGGACAGCUUGGCCAUCAUUCACACAUCAAGGCUGAAAGAAGACCACCACUCUACAUUUUGGCCAAUAGAAAGAAAAAAAAAAACCCCUGGAAAACGACGAAAACUAAGGAUGCAAGGCACUAAGCCAACAGGCUCCUAGAUUGAAAUGCAGACUCCAUCGUCAAACACUGGGCUGGUAAGGUUGCCUUUUACUUUCUCAAUUCUUGUGUUGUAACCCCCCCCAGACACCUAUAUGAGAGGGCGCAAGACAAGCUUAAUUCCCUCCAGUACUCAUCUGACACUAACAGUGGAAGAGAAUUGGGACAGGGCAAGAGGAGGCGGCGAAAUGUGAUGGAUUUUGGAGAAGACGAAGAGAAUGGCAGCACAGACUAUGGUGAAAGUGAUGAAUAUGUCCAACCAAGGGCAUCGACAUCACCUCGCCCACUAUCCAUAAUAGACAAGGGGAGGUUGUCAGCAUGCUAUUAAAAUUGUGCAUUGAAAUUUCAAAGAUUUUGUAAAAAUUGCUUCUCGAGUGAGUUACUUCCAACUCUGCUAUGUGAACCGCAAAUCUUGUAUACGGGUGUAGAAUGAAAAUUUAGUUUCUAAUAAAUAGAGUAGUUUGCUGGGCCAGUUGGUGCAUGGUGAACGUGUAAUGGUUUCCAGCAAGUACGGACGCGAGCACAAGUAAUUGUAGAAACGGACAGGACAACGCUGGACUUAAAACUGAAGUUUAUUGCGAUAACAUUCCACAAAGCUCCGCCAUGCAUGCGUAUGGAAAAAAUCUCCGCCAAGCAUCUCCGCCAAAUCUCCGCCACGCAUGCGCAUGCAUUGUCCUGUCCGUUUCUACUUACUUGUGCUUGCGUCCGUACUUGCUGGAAACCAUUAUACGUUUAGUUUCUCAUCUUUUUUUUUUCCUUUAGGCAGGUAUGAGCUGACCUUGGCAGAGUCGUCUUGCCAACUUCCGUACUGUACAGAUAGCCCGCCUGAAGCAACUCAAAUGCUUUAUAGUAACCACUCUUUUACUUCAGAUUUCUGGGGCUGUUCUUUGUCAAUCAUGGAUGCUUAACAACCAAGUUCACAGUGAGCAAGAGCGGCUGUCGCGUCCACGGUAGAACGGCUUCAAUCCCAUGGCCAUUACAUCAUUGCCAACUUCCGUGGGAUCGUAGUCGUCAAAAUUGGAUCAGCAGAGGCCGACAAAACUGCAGGCAUCUUGGGAAAGGAAGAAAAAAAGAAGAGCUUUAUAUGAGAACGGAUCAAGCGUUCGAGAGUUGGGACAAGGAAAUGUGAGACGUACUUUCAGGAAACACUGGAACGACACUGCUUAAAAGCUGCUUAAACCAUUCGGGAAGAAAUCAGAUGAAAAAAGAAAACUGUAAAUACCCAGUACUGUACGAUAUACGUCUGGUGCAUUGCUGGUAAGAAAGGAUUGUGUGUGAAUAUGGACUUGAGUAGAUCUAGGAACAUCAGACAAAAAAUGCAUGUACGUGAAACACUAUGGGCAACCGAUAUUUUGUAUGAUCACUAACUAUGCAAGCUUCACUCUCGAUGGGGACAGAGAAAUAUCGGAUGUUGUACCGUUCAGAGCCAAGGACAUGGAACGGCUGAAAAAGAGACUCCCGGGCAGCAUGCAAAACUUUCACAGCAGGCUAGCACUGUCCUCUAGCUGUAUCGUACUAUUUCAGUGAACAAGGACUGCUUGCAAAUUGUUAACACUGCUGCACGAAAAAAAUAAUGUAUUUUAUGAUUGCAAAA